rnacentral:rRNA from 1 species
GACGAACGCUGGCGGCGUGCCUAAUACAUGCAAGUUGAGCGAUGAAGAUUGGUGCUUGCACCAAUUUGAAGAGCAGCGAACGGGUGAGUAACGCGUGGGGAAUCUGCCUUUGAGCGGGGGACAACAUUUGGAAACGAAUGCUAAUACCGCAUAACAACUUUAAACAUAAGUUUUAAGUUUGAAAGAUGCAAUUGCAUCACUCAAAGAUGAUCCCGCGUUGUAUUAGCUAGUUGGUGAGGUAAAGGCUCACCAAGGCGAUGAUACAUAGCCGACCUGAGAGGGUGAUCGGCCAGAUUGGGACUGAGACACGGCCCAAACUCCGACGGGAGGCAGCAGUAGGGAAUCGUCGGCAAUGGACGAAAGUCUGACCGAGCAACGCCACGUGAGUGAAGAAGGUUUUCGGAUCGUAAAACUCUGUUGGUAGAGAAGAACGUUGGUGAGAGUGGAAAGCUCAUCAAGUGACGGUAACUACCCAGAAAGGGACGGCUAACUACGUG